rnacentral:rRNA from 1 species
AACGAACGCUGGCGGCAUGCCUAACACAUGCAAGUCGAACGAGACCUUCGGGUCUAGUGGCGCACGGGUGAGUAACGCGUGGGAACCUGCCCUUAGGUUCGGAAUAACUCCCCGAAAGGGGUGCUAAUACCGGAUAAUGUCUUCGGACCAAAGAUUUAUCGCCUUUGGAUGGGCCCGCGUUGGAUUAGCUAGUUGGUAGGGUAAAAGCCUACCAAGGCGACGAUCCAUAGCUGGUCUGAGAGGAUGAUCAGCCACACUGGGACUGAGACACGGCCCAGACUCCUGCGGGAGGCAGCAGUGGGGAAUAUUGGACAAUGGGCGAAAGCCUGAUCCAGCAAUGCCGCGUGAGUGAUGAAGGCCUUAGGGUUGUAAAGCUCUUUUACCCGGGAUGAUAAUGACAGUACCGGGAGAAUAAGCUCCGGCUAACUCCGUG